CCAGCAAUUGCGGUUAUACAGACGAUACUAGUUAAUUUUUUCGGUGGCCAGUAAAUUUUUUAAUUAAAAUUUUUAAUUUGGGUUUAUAAGGUGAAAUUUGUAAAUUUAUUUGAAAAAUUAAUUUUUGUUAUUAAGGCUGGGAUAUUCAGGUUUUAAACUGGGAUUAGAUACCCUAUUAUUCUGAAUGUAAAUUUUUAGUGCUGGACCAGUAUUAGUUAUGUUCUUGAAAAUUAAAGAUUUUGGCGGUAUUUUAGUCCAUUCAGAGGAACCUGUCCUGUAAUUGAUGAUCCACGAGCUAUUCAACUUUCUUUAUUAGUUUGUAUAUCGUCGUAGUUUGAAUAUUUUAUUAGAAAUUAAAUAUUCAUAAUUUUUCUUAUAAGGGAAAUCAGAUCAAGGUGCAGCCUAUAGGGGAGUAGAGAUGGGUUACAAUAAAUUUAUUUAGAAGGAUUUAUUUUUGAAAUGAAUUGAUGAAUUUGGAUUUGAGGGUAAUUUUAAUUAGGCAAUUAAAAUGAUUUAGGCUCUAAAAUAUGCACAUAUUGCCCGUCGCUUU
rnacentral:rRNA from 1 species